rnacentral:lncRNA from 1 species
GGGGAGAGGGUCUAAUCUGAUAAUCAUUUCCUUCGUAUUCUUUAUUUUAUUUAUUGUGUCAAUAAAGGAGCUAUUGUUUGAUUUUGAUGGGGAUGGAGGGGGGACUAACCUGGUUGCAAUUGUUUGCCCUUUUUCUUUCUAUUAUUGUUAUCUCUGUCCUGGCUUUUUAUUUUCCUUCUAUUCGGUCCUGCCUUUUGUUAUUUAGUUUAUCCUGACUUUUUUUUACAUAAAUUU